GCAUGGAGAUAUAAUAGACACAAGACUAGGUGUCUAGGUGAGAGCAAAGAGAAGAAAAAGAGGAUCUUCUUCUAAGGUUGCUGUGUUCACCUCUUUCCUUCCUCCGUCUGUGAGUUUUCUGAGAGUGUCUCACAUAUAGAACUUUUUUUUCUACUUCUCAUCUUUAGAAGAGUCUAAAUCAAGAAGAAGAAGGCAUCUGAUCGACCAUCGAAGAAGGAUCAGUGCAGUACUAGCAUACUGUGCUGAUUUUCUUGAUCAAGACUUCUGAUCAU
rnacentral:lncRNA from 1 species